rnacentral:rRNA from 1 species
GAUGAACGCUGGCGGCGUGCUUAACACAUGCAAGUCGAACGGGAAACCUUUUAAUGUUGCUUCGGCAGAUUUAGCUGGCUUCUAGUGGCGGACGGGUGAGUAACGCGUGGGUAACCUGCCUUAUACAGGGGGAUAACAGUCAGAAAUGACUGCUAAUACCGCAUAAGCGCACAGGACCGCAUGGUCCGGUGUGAAAAACUCCGGUGGGAUAAGAUGGACCCGCGUUGGAUUAGCUUGUUGGUGGGGUAACGGCUCACCAAGGCGACGAUCCAUAGCCGGCAAGGGAGGGUGAGCGGCGACUUUGGGACUGAGACACAGCCCAGACUCCUACAGGAGGCAGCAGUGGGGAAUAUUGCACAAUGGGGGAAACCCAGAUGCAGCGACGCCGCGUGAAGGAAGAAGUAUCUCGGUAUGUAAACUUCUAUCAGCAGGGGUGAUAGUGACGGUACCUGACUAAGAAGCCCCGGCUAACUACGUG